rnacentral:tRNA from 1 species
UAUUAUAAUUUUGGCAGAACAUUGCAUUAGGUUUAGAACCUAAAUAAGUAAUCC